UACGUAGGGGGCAAGCGUUAUCCGGAUUUACUGGGUGUAAAGGGAGCGUAGACGGCAGAGCAAGUCUGAAGUGAAAGCCCGCGGCCCAACUGCGGGACUGCUUUGGAAACUGCCCGGCUAGAGUGCUGGAGAGGUAAGCGGAAUUCCUAGUGUAGCGGUGAAAUGCGUAGAUAUUAGGAGGAACACCAGUGGCGAAGGCGGCCUACUGGACGGUGACUGACGCUGAGGCUCGAAAGCGUGGGGAGCAAACAGG
rnacentral:rRNA from 1 species